AGCAGCCGCGGUAAUUCCAGCUCCAAUAGCGUAUAUUAAAGUUGUUGCAGUUAAAAGCUCGUAGUUGAAUUUCGGGGUUAGUAGGUUGGUCAUGCCUCUGGUAUGUACUGGUCUCACUGAUUCCUCCUUCCUGAUGAACCUUAAUGCCAUUAAUUUGGUGUUUUGGGGAAUUUGGACUGUUACUUUGAAAAAUUAGAGUGUUUAAAGCAAGCUAACGCUUGAAUACAUUAGCAUGGAAUAAUGAAAUAGGACGUUCGAUCCUAUUUUGUUGGUUUCUAGGAUUGACGUAAUGAUUAAUAGGGAUAGUUGGGGGCAUUAGUAUUCAAUUGUCAGAGGUGAAAUUCUUGGAUUUAUUGAAGACUAACUACUGCGAAAGCAUUUGCCAAGGAUGUUUUCAUUAAUCAAGAACGAAAGUUAGGGAUCGAAGACGAUCAGAUACCGUCGUAGUCUUAACCAUAAACUAUGCCGACUAGGGAUCGGAUGAUGUUAAUUUUUAUGUACUCAUUCGGCGUCCUUACGG
rnacentral:misc_RNA from 1 species